UACGUAGGUGGCGAGCGUUGUCCGGAUUUACUGGGCGUAAAGGAUGCGUAGGCGGAUAUUUAAGUGAGAUGUGAAUACCCGGGCUUAACUUGGGUGCUGCAUUUCAAACUGGAUAUCUAGAGUGCGGGAGAGGAGAAUGGAAUUCCUAGUGUAGCGGUGAAAUGCGUAGAGAUUAGGAAGAACACCAGUGGCGGAAGGCGG
rnacentral:rRNA from 1 species